rnacentral:rRNA from 1 species
UGAGGGAUAUUGCACAAUGGGCGAAAGCCUGAUGCAGCAACGCCGCGUGAGGGAUGACGGUCUUCGGAUUGUAAACCUCUGUCCUCAGUGAAGAAGAAAGUGACGGUAGCUGAGGAGGAAGCCACGGCUAACUACGUGCCAGCAGCCGCGGUAAUACGUAGGUGGCAAGCGUUGUCCGGAAUUACUGGGUGUAAAGGGAGCGCAGGCGGGCGUGCAAGUCAGCUGUGAAAUCCAUGGGCUUAACCCGUGGGCUGCAGUUGAAACUGUAUGUCUUGAGUGAAGUAGAGGUAGGCGGAAUUCCGAGUGUAGCGGUAAAAUGCGUAGAUAUUCGGAGGAACACCGGUGGCGAAGGCGGCCUACUGGGCUUUAACUGACGCUGAGGCUCGAAAGUGUGGGGAGCAAACA